CCCUUAGAUGUUCUGGGCCGCACGCGCGCUACACUGAUGCAUUCAACGAGUUCCUACCUUGGCCGAGAGGCCUGGGCAAUCUUUUGAACUUGCAUCGUGAUAGGGAUAGAUUAUUGCAAUUAUUAAUCUUGAACGAGGAAUUCCUAGUAAACGCAGAUCAUCAAUCUGCAUUGAUUACGUCCCUGCCCUUUGUACACACCGCCCGUCGCACCUACCGAUUGAAUGGUCCGGUGAAGCCUCGGGAUUGUGGUUAGUUUCCUUCAUUGGAAGUUAGCCGCGAGAACUUGUCUAAACCUUAUCAUUUAGAGGAAGGAGAAGUCGUAACA
rnacentral:rRNA from 1 species